rnacentral:tmRNA from 2 species
GGGGAUGUAAUGGUUUCGACGGGGAGAGAGGGGCGUGAGCAGCGGGCCGUGGCGGGGACCCACGAUAAAAGCCUCAAACAAAUUAACUGACAACAACACUGUUGCAGUCGCUGCCUAAUUAAAGGCAGCCGUCCUGCCCACUUUAGCACCGUGUGGGGUCAGGGCGUCGACAGGUGCUGAACGUGAACGGACUUAAGCUUUGCGGUCCGUCAUGAAUUUAUGAAGCUACCAACGCAUACAGCGCGUGUACUCGCUCAUGCUGAGGGAAUCCUAAUAAGUAUACUGCGCCCGGAGAUACUCUAACCGCUUUCUUUUCGGACAGGGGUUCGACUCCCCUCAUCUCCACCA